CAAUCAAGUUUCCUGGCAGUGAACUCACUGGAGCCUGGCCCUUUGGCCAGGUUUUCCCAGAAAGCCAGAGGUAGAAGGGUCCUCAGAGACCAUCUGACCCCACCUUGCCCGAAGCAAGCAUCUCCUCUAGGAUAUCCCCAUUAAGUAGUCAUUCUGCCUUUGCUGGAAGACUUCCAGCAAGACAGAUCCCAACCCCUCCAAGAGAUGGUCAGACCUUCAGCAAAUCCAUGGUCCAUUCAUAGAAAGCUGGUCCAUUCCCCACGGAUCAAUAGAUUUGCCCCAGUCAUUUUUGGCCAACUGUGUAUCCAGGUGUGCACAACUGGACAACUUGACUGUUUGGCAUAUCCACACCACUGACUCCACCAUGAAUACUGAAAAGACCCGGGAAGGAAAGAAUCACCUGGGCUUUCAACACCUACAAGUGGGUCAGUGCUUUCAGGAAAAAACUCUUAAUGAUUGGAAAUGCCAUGACUGUUUGCCUGUGGUGGCAGUGGUUUCCUCCUCAUGGGAUAGCAUCUGUGAAAGGUUGGAUGACCACUUAUAGAACCUGUUGUAGAAAGGAUUCUUGUCCUGGAGCAAGCUGAAUCAGACAUUACUGAGAAUCUAUGAUUCUGUGAUUCAGUUUCUUUAUCUGUAAAAUGGGGAUAAUAAAUAAAUCUAUCUUCUAGGGUUAUUGUGUGGAUCAAUGUAUGUAAAGUGUUUCAUAAACCAUCAAAUGUUAAAUAAGUGCUGACUAUUACCAUUAAUGUUGCUGUUACUACUGCUGUUGCUAUUGCUACUGAUUGGAGCCACUCUCUGGAGGCUUGGAAAAUAUCAAUCCCUCUUUCCCUUAUAUUGCCAACAGCUGAGUGCUUACUAGCUGCUUGCCUUGGAAGCCUGGGUGUGUUUCCCUUAAUCAAUAAUUAGCCUCAUAAAGGCCUUUUACCUGAGGAGAGCUUCUACCCUCUUAACUCCCUGUCCACCUGGCAGAGGAAGCAAGCUGCUCCCUGGCAUUUUACCCCGAGGGGAAAGGAGAAGGAAGAAUUCUACUUCCAAACAGGAAGUACAAUUGCAAACAUGGCUCACUCUGUGAAAGAGCAAUGCAUUACCUAUCUCAAACAGUUCCCAGUCUUAUAAUGUCUUUUCUUCCUACUAUUCCUGGGUGCACUGGUCAUUGCGAUUGCCAGGAGAGAUUCAUCUCCUUACACCCCACUCCCCCUUAACAUUCUGACCUGCCCAGUCUCUACAAUACAUCCAAUAUGUAUUCCUCCACACUAUAUUCAGCAUGGAAUUCUCCCUCACUAUGGGAGAUUCCAGAGGUGUGACAAAAGGAACCUAACUGGAUAAUGAUUCUGGGUACAGGAAGGAACCUUAAAGAGUCUGGAGGUGGAUUUUAAGCGUUUUCACACUUCAUUGUUUUUUGGAAGUCUCUGUAUUGGAAUUGGGAAAAAAAGGAUUCUUGAAUUCAGUGCCUGUAUCCUAUCACAUAUAUCAUAUUUUCUGAUUGCUUGUUUUAAGAUUUUAUUUUUUUAUUAAGUUCACAUAUUGGUUCUAAUCUAAUAUAUUCUAAUC